rnacentral:tRNA from 1 species
CCCGACGGCUCACACGGUAGAGAAUCUGCCUUCAAUGCAGGAGACCCAGGUUUGACCCCUGGGUCAGGA